rnacentral:sRNA from 1 species
UAAACGGACGCGAUAGCGAUCGGCGCGU